AUGAGCAAUAAAUCAUUACUGAUAUUUAACUAUAUGGCUAACUAUAAGAGGUUGCAUAUCGAAUUAUUGAAUUGAAUAACAAACUUAUAUUAAAAGGCAGAAAAAGAAGUGGUAUGGGAACAAUUGACAAAUUAUAACAUUUAUUAUUACUUCCUACAUUUCGUUAUUCAUUUUCCAUACGAGAAAUAAUGUGAAUAUGCACAUAACUGUACACUGGAUGAUACUACAGUAACUAUAUCAAACUAGUAAAAUAGGGAACACGGAAAAGCUUCAGCAAGUCCAUAGGUUCUGUAGCUGAGAGC
rnacentral:sRNA from 2 species